rnacentral:rRNA from 1 species
AUGAUAUGUGUUUUUCUUGGAGCGUGUUUAUUAUUUGUGUCUUUGCUUGUUAGUUUGCCACAAUCAUCCUUGCUGUACACACCUUUUGAGAGAGUCAUACAUGAUUUGGAAUUUGCUAGAAUACUCUAUGUGCUUCACUUAAAUCUUUUGAGCUUGAUAGUUUUGCUCAUAGCGCUUCACUUAAAUCUUUUGAGCGUAAUAUUUUUUGCUCUAGUGAUUCACUUAGAUAUUUUAGAGCACGGUGGUGGAUUUGUUUUAAAGAAACUAUUGAUCUCUCAUGCUUCACUUAUAUUAUUUUGA